GAUGCGAUGCUAAAGACCAACGUUCUGGAUCUCACUGGAGCCUCUGGAUUGCUUUCUCAGCUCCACCCCAAAACAUUUGAUUUUGAUACGGCCAGUUUUGGGUACAUCGGUCUUCCGGGUCGGCAUCAAAUGGGCUUAAUCGCCCAAGACGUGCAACCAGUUCUUCCCGAUCUGGUGCAUUCAUCUAUACAUCCUACGGAGUACGAUUCGCUGGGCAACGUGUUGCACCCGGAAGUGCCUCACCUUGGCUUGGAAUAUAUGCAGUUCAUCCCUCUGCUCAUUGCCGGCUGGCAGGAACAGCAAGCGAUAAUUACUCAGCAACAGCAGCAACUCGACCAGAUGCAGCUCCAAAUGACGCUGCUACAACAGCAGGUCAACAACUGCUGU
rnacentral:misc_RNA from 1 species